GAUGAACGCUGGCGGCGUGCCUAAUACAUGCAAGUCGAGCGAACGGACGAGAAGCUUGCUUUUCUGAUGUUAGCGGCGGAUGGGUGAGUAACACGUGGAUAACCUACCUAUAAUACUGGGAUAACUUCGGGAAACCGGAGCUAAUACCGGAUGAUCUUUUUGACCGCAUGGUUCAAAAGUUAACGACGGUCUUUCUGUCCCUUAUCGAUGGAUCCGCGCUGCAUUAGCUAGUUUGUAAGGUAACGGCUUACCAAGGCAACGAUGCAUAGGCGACCUGAGAGGGUGAUCGGCCACACUGGAGCGGAGACACGGUCCAGACUCCUACGGGAGGCAGCAGUAGGGAAUCGUCCGCAAUGGGCGAAAGCCUGACGGAGCAGCGCCGCGUGAGUGAUGAAGGUCUUCGGAUCGUAAAACUCUGUUAUUAGUGAAGAACAUAUGUGUAAGGAACUGUGCACAUCUUGACGGUACCUAAUCAGAAAGCCACGGCUAACUACGUG
rnacentral:rRNA from 1 species